CCCACAGGCGACAGACACGCCCCGCCCCCGCCCCCUUACGCACCCCUCAUCUCCUCCUUUCCGCUCUACCACCUCUACCGACCCAAACAUACUCGAACCGUAGUCUUUCUUGGGCAGGGCUGUCUCGUCGCUUUUCUUUGCUGCUCCCCUCUGUCCGUGUGUGGUCUGUCCCGGGGUGCAAUUAUUUCCCACCCUCUUUUCUUGCAAAGGGAGGGGGUCUCUCCGCACCCACUGCGCAUGCCGGGGAACUUGGCACAUCCCUUGUAAUGCGUGUCCCCACCCCCCCUCGCGCUGGCCUACCCACCAGCCCCCAGCAGCGCGCUCAUCGACUUCUAUGAGUCCCCGCUGGCGACACGCGCUGCUUUGCCUCUCACUCUCUCUCCCCUCACCUCUUUUCGUUGCUGGCGCAUACUCCCUCCUCUCACCCGUCUCCCUGCCCCCGCCUAGCUUGACUUCUCUCAUCAGCUGUCCUCUCCACCACGACCACUCUGAGGGCGGUCAAGUAGGUGGCUGCCGUUUUCGCCCUCUGCCGUCUUUUGUCUCCACACGCCUUCUGCAGAACGCCGUGCCUCUCCCCACCCCCGUGCCUCCCCCCGCCUUUGUACACUAGCGCUGUCUGUCGUCGAGGAGUCGGAACACGUCAGCUCAGCCUUGCACUUCUCACUCGCUACGCACCCCAUUCCCAUCUAUGUCACUGUUCUCUUCGACUCCGACACCGGAAGACACCAAUCCCCCACCAUCUAAUGCCACGCUUCUCACAAGCAGCACGAGCACCGCACAACCGCAGGCCCAUCUAUGCUACUAUUAUCACCAGCACUAUUCGCACGCGCCUCACAUCCUGCCACUAAGGCAUCCUGGGUCACUGGAGCAACGGGAUGUCGGUGAUGGCUCCCUCCAGUUACCGCGAGAGGCGGCGGCGCCGGGGCGGUCUGUCGCGUCACCGAUCGCCCCCUCCCCACCGCAGCGGCUCCUCCGCGUACAUCAGCCGGUCGUGUACGCACCCUGGGACAUGAUGCCGCAGCCCACCGACGGCGCACCUGCCCACCAGCUCCACGCCAUCCCCGGCGCACCGGUCGGCCCCACGCCAGCCACGGUUAUCGCACAGGGCGCGCCCGCCAUCUCCCUCGAUCUUCCGGUCCCGCCGAGCCCCGACAAGCAGGUGCGCACCUACUACGCGCUCGUCUUAUUUGUGCUCAUGGCGGCCAUGGGGCUACUGCUCGGCUCCUUCUUCACGCCGAUCUGCACAGCGUGCUUGAACUUCACACGAAGCGUCACGGAUGUACAAGACCCGGCAGUCUACAAGCGCAGCAUCGAGGGGAGCCGCGGCAUGCAGAUCAGCGCGUAUGCGGCGUUUUCUCCCUGCACCGUGUUCAAGAGGCACGCGUGCGACACGAUCACCGCGGACCAGGUGUCCGGGUGGAUGCGGUCCAUCACCAACGGCAUGCAGGCGCCGUUCCCUGAUCUGUUCUCGUACAGCGGCAUUGACCGGGCCCGCGUGAGCUCCUGCUCGUACAUUCGUCUACCAGCAGCAACAACACACCCGGUGCCUCAGCUGCAGAACACCGCGGCCCCCGUGGUAAUCGGCUGGCGCGCCUUCCGGAGCGACUGUGGCCCAACGCCUCCUGCUUUGCCUCUCCACACGCGUCACGGCUGGAGAAGCGGAGGCAGUGGCCUGGGCAACGUCUCGACAAGUCUGCGCGCUCAUGAAAGAGAGCCACACUCUCAUCCCCCUCUUGCUGCUCCUGGGCAGGGCGAUGCUCCUGGCCACAACGAUCCUACGCACGCACGCCCCGCUGCUGGCGCGCCGCAUGGCGGCAAUGCGAGCCACGUUCGUAUCGUCCUCCACAGCUCUCUCCCUCAGGGGGCAAAAGCCGCCUUCACCCUCACAUGCGACAGCGACACUGACACGGUUCCUAUGCUGAACCUCACGACCAUCUACAAUGCCGACGUCUCCGCAUACCUUUCAGACGGCACUAACGCAAGCAGCUCGAAAAUGGUGUCCGCCGCAGACCUUAUUACGAGGGCGGACCCUAAAAAUGUGGUGCGCGAGUACCAACCCGUCAUGCGCACCUGCGCCGAGUAUCUCGCGGCGUGCGCGACUAUCGAGCCUGGGUACUACGUUGUGAUAGCCCCCGCCAGCCCACUGCACAGGUGCGGGCAAGAAGCCAUCAGUCCACCCAGUAGCCCUUCCCGAAGCUCCGCCACCGCUGCGAAAGUACUCAUAUGCGGCAUCACCGUCUACGAGCCUACCGCAUACGCAGCAGGUGCUAUGCGCUUCAUCGCGAGGGCACAUCUAGCCAUGAACAUGGUUGUGUACCCGUCCAAUGUUCGCUUCCCCAGCAGCGCAGCAGGGGCGCCGGUGUGCCUCACGCCAUCUGCGAUUCUUCUCGUGUUCGCCGAGGCCUUCAUGCUGCUUACCAUCGUCCUCACAGCGGUCACGGUAGGCAUGGCUCCUGUGCAGCGCGCCAAGCUCCGCCAGCUCCGCGCCGCGCUAGAUGUGGACGCUUCCGUGGCGAUGGAAAUCCUGUACCGCGCUCAGGGGGCCGUGGCGGCGGGCAUGCCGCUCACAGCGGCACCAGCACCCGCAGCGCCCCGCGCACCUCACGAACCUGGCGCCGAAGCUGGCCACGCCACCGACGAGCCCGCCGCCGCCACAGCGGACGACGCAUCCCCGAUGUCGUUCACCUCCGCGUCCACGGCGCCGCCACGGCCGCACAUGCAGACGUCGCAGCAGCAGCCAUCGGAGGCGCACACGCCCCAGUCAGAGUUGUCGGGCACCGCCGCUGCCAUGCUGCUUGUGCCGCCAUACUACCAGCCCGGCGGGAUGACGGUGCCGGGGGCGAGUGGCAGUGGCAGCAUGGGUGUACCCGGCAUUAUGGCGGGCCUCCACCCGUCGCCGUACAGCGAGGGAUACUACCUCGAGCCGGAGCACGGCCCGAGAAAUGCAGCAGCACCCCGCCGCGACGCAGCCGACGGCGUGGUCCCACCUGCCGGCGCGGCACACACAUUGCCGGCCGCAGCGGCGGCACGGCACGGUGAGAGGGACCGCAGCACCACCACGCGUGGCGUGUCGUACACGGCGUCUCCCGGCACGAGUCUGGUCGCGCAGGAGAGGAGCGUGGUGUGCAGCAGCAGCGGCGUGCGAGAUGUGUCCGUGCGGAAUGUUACCCUGCACCGCAUCGGCCGGCGUCGGCAGCGGCAGCGUGGCACAGCCGGCGUCGGCAGCGACGAGGACCAGGACGCCGGCGGCGGCGGUGCUGGCAGCGGCAUUGGCUGUGCGGUGGCGCCAACGUGGGUGCCGGCGGCGCCCGGCGCUUUGCCCGCCAGAGGCCACCAACCGGAGCUGCUCGCGGGCCAGGCGCACGCCGCUGAUGCGGUGUCGCCGCCGGCGCUGAUGUCGCUAGAGCACCCGGAGCCGCUGAUGCCGGUGUCGGAGGCGACGGGCUGGAUGUUCGGGCGGAGCCGACACAUCGCGAGCCAGAGCAUGCUGGAGGAGAGCUCUUCCUCGGCGCGCACCGCGGAGGAGCGGAAUGCGGCGGGUGCGUCGAUGCCCGGCAACUGGCCUGGCAGCGACACUGAAAGCAGGCUGGGCAGCGACGACAGACUGCCUUUAGCCAGCUACGUGCUGCCGGAGAACUCGCCCGGCGAGCGCACCAUCCAGCUCUUUCUGCUGCGCGCUCGAAAGUCCUACACGCGUCUGCGCCGCAAGCAGGUGCGUGUUCUAGCCAAGCUGUUGUUUUAUGCGAAGGCAGCGGCGUUCACGGCGCUGGUGUUUGCGCUGGUGUGCACUGGGUUGCAGUUGUCUGGUGUAUCAGCGAGAGGCAGGGAGGGUCUACAGUUUCGCGGUGGUGACACUCUGUCCGACGACUAUGUGCUGAAUGCUAGUCAUGUGGCGCUCAUGUCACUCUCCCUUGCGUGCGUGGUUGUGGUCGUGGUGCUAGAUUUUGUUGUUGAGCGAAAACGGCUGUGGUAGAGGAUAAGCCGGCAUGUUCAGGUCGCUCUUGUCCCGUAGCCCGUGUUUCGCUCGCUCGCUCGCUCUCUCUCUGGUUUGGCACACAGUUGAUUUUUCCCUGGUAGCCCCUGUGUGUGUGGCCCUUUUCUCCCAAAGGCUGAUUGCGAUUCCCGAUGAAGCUGCCAUUUGUCCCAGGGUCAUGCACCACCGCUUCCUCACGAAGGGUUCGAGGUGGGAGUCCAAUGGUAGAUGGGGCCCACCCACCCCCUCAUGGCACUCCAGCCUAGAAUCAUCUUUUCCAGGUUUGUCUGCAUUCUUCUUGUGCGUGCCUUUUCGGCACUUUGCCCUCCAGCCUCGUGUGGCGAACCGUCUAACACCCCUUUCGCGCCCGUCCCCACCACCACGUUUAUGCAUGCACGCACGCUCCCUGUUCGUUCUCUCUGUGUGUCUGUGUGUAUGGUAAGCAACUGUAGCUGUCUCACUCUCUCCUAGUGUUCGCUCUGCUCCCCCUCCCCUCCUCCCCUUUUAUUUUGUACUCCCGCCGCCUUUCCUUGUGACUCGCAUUUCCAUGAGAGAUUUCAAGCGUAAAACGCGCAGACGCCGACGCACACACGCACACGUACGAGAGCAGAUGCUGAUGUGUAGACGCCUGUUUUAUGCAUGCAUACAGCAGGUGACGGCACCUGGAGAUUGGUUCAUUUUUCUUUUUGGGGAGGGGUGCGUGCGUGCGCGUGUAUGUGUGUUUUCCCGAUCUCUUCGGCAACAAAUAUAUGUUUGUGCAUGCUCCCUCGUCUCCGUGUUUCCUCUCGUUUUGCCGCCUUCGCCUCAAUGCGUGUGAAUGGGCGCCUGUCCGUGGGAACGCGUGGCAGAGAGAGAGGAAAAGAGAGCGAGCAGGCGAACGAGUCUGAGAGCUGUGCUCUCUCUUGGAGAUUUCCAUUAUGCACCCAUCAAUUCAAUGGUGUCCAAUGUGCUCCCCCAUCCCCCUCGCCCCCUCCCAGGCACACACACACAGGGUUUUCCACCGGUGUCUCCAUAUCUAUUUCUUAUUUUUCCAGCGUUAGGGCACCUGUGGUGCGCGUCUACAUCCACAGCUGCUUGCAUUCGUGUGCGCAUGCGUGUGUUUUUCUUGAAUGCUUCCACGCUUCGGCUGCCUAUUUUUUAGUAUUUUUUUUCACGUUAGCGUUUUCAUUUCAAUGUAUGUGUGCGAGAUCUCUUUCAUUUUUGUUGAUUUUUUUUGCUCCGCGUCUCUCAUUCUCCCUCUGGUUCAUGCAUAUGUAUGCAUGGGUGUAUAUAUAUAUAUAUUUGUGUGUGAGCUGCUCACACACGAGUGACACACAAGCACCACCGUCACCUUAGCCGAAGCCUCUCUUGCCAAUCUCUACCAUUGCGUUGUCCUCCAUCUUUUCUGUGUGGGUGUUGGCAUACGCACACAUGUAUAUACAUAUAUAUAUAUAUAUGGCUUCUUCCUUCCUCGUGCUAGUGCAUUCUGUAACGCUAAACUCACCCUCAUUCUCUCUUCAUUGGCAUUCUUUUUUGUGGUUGUUUUUCGUUCGUGCCGGCGUCCUCUGUGUUGGGCGCGUGUGCAUGUCUGUCGGUCAAUGUCUGUCCAUGUCUGUGUGUGUGUGUGUGUGUGCCUUCGAUACCGUAGUUUAGCCUUUUUCUUUUUUACACCUUUUCCUCUCCGGUGUUUUGCGCGUCGUUUUUCCUGCACUCCCCCAUAACGUACGAGAACCUUUUCUCGACGUGCUCAUCUCCUUCAGGCACAUCU
rnacentral:misc_RNA from 1 species